rnacentral:lncRNA from 1 species
GGGGCGAGUCCACUUCGUGCCUGGCUGGAGUUCAGGGGUCCGAAGUGUCAGCUGUAGGCCUGGUGAAGCUUGGUGGCCCCAUGGCCCCGCUCGGAGCUUCCCCGCGUCUGGUGUUGCUGUUUAGCGGGAAGAGAAAAUCCGGGAAGGACUUCGUGACCGAGAGGCUGCAGAGCAGGUGUCCGCGGGUACAGGGAAGCCGAGGAAGGGCGCUACCUCAAGUGAUGGAGGGAGGGCUUGAUGGAGGGAGCUCACUGAGGGCAAGGAGGGACAGGAUGACACAGGGAAGAAGGUAGAUCCUCGUGGUCAGUGAAACAGCAGCCUGCACAUGUACCCCUCUAGGAACCAGGAGACUGCUUCUGCAGAAGAACUCUGUCGUCAAGAAACAUGGAUUGC